rnacentral:lncRNA from 1 species
GAAAAGGGAAGAAAUGGCUUAAGCUCGCUGAAGAAGAGGCGCCAGAUUGUAGUAAGGAGGCGGCAGCUGAAGUUCCAGCUGCCAUAUGAGUUGCUUCCAUAGGAAGAGGAUGGUCGUGAUUUCCUUCGUACGUCGUCAUAUAAGCGGAUGUAUCAUCUUCUCCGCAUCUUUGCACCUACAUAAAUACAUUCUAAUUCAUAUUAAUAUUCAGGAUAUAACUCCUUGUCAUUUCACACAGAUGUAGUGACCGACCAUGAUCAAAAUCGCAGUGGGAGGACUCUCUAGUCCUUUAACUUUAGGUGAACCCUCCAAUCACUGGAUCAACAUGAAAUGGUCUACACAGUCCCAUUUUUUGUAAGAUUAAAACCAAGUUACCUAAACCGGUUUA